CCCUUAGAUGUUCUGGGCCGCACGCGCGCUACACUGAGCCCUUCAUCGAGUUUACAACCUUGGCCGGUAGGUCUGGGUAAUCUUCUCAAAGGGGCUCGUGCUGGGGAUAGAUUAUUGUAAUUUUUAAUCUUCAACGAGGAAUUCCUAGUAAACGCAAGUCAACAGCUUGCAUUGAUUACGUCCCUGCCCUUUGUACACACCGCCCGUCGCUACUACCGAUUGAAUGGCUUAGUGAGCCCGAGGGACUGUUGCACCUAGAGGGUUUUCUCUCCAGGAGCAGCCGGGAACUCGGUCAAACUUGAUCAUUUAGAGGAAGUAAAGUCGUAACA
rnacentral:rRNA from 1 species